CAAUAGCGUAUAUUAAAGUUGUUGCAGUUAAAAAGCUCGUAGUUGGAUUUGUGGCGUACGGUGUGUUCCGGGCACUUGUUGUCUGAGUAACCUGCUGUUGCCAUCCUUGGGUGGAACCUGUGUGGCAUUAGGUUGUCGUGCAGGGGAUGCCCAUCAUUUACUGAGAAAAAAUUAGAGUGUUCAAAGCAGGCUUAUGCCGUUGAAUAUAUUAGCAUGGAAUAAUGAGAUAGGACUUUUUUGCUAUUUUGUUGGUUUGCGCAAAGAGGUAAUGAUUAAUAGGGACAGUUGGGGGUAUUCGUAUUCCAUUGUCAGAGGUGAAAUUCUUGGAUUUUUGGAAGACGAACUACUGCGAAAGCAUUUACCAAGGAUGUUUUCAUUAA
rnacentral:rRNA from 1 species